UCAGGCAAAUACCAAUAAUGGCGGCAGCCAGUGGACGGUUUAAGCUCCUAGAACAUAGUUAUUGCCUAAAAGAAACACCUGAAAAAAAGCACGAACGAAUUGCGUCUUUCUUUUCCCGUGACCAUUCAUACGCACCUGUGACAGCUAACACACCAGAAAAGAAACGAAAGCGUGAUUUUUCCUCACCCACAGGAAAAACCCCUACACAGCCUUUAAAGGCUAAAUUGGAAGACAAAACACGCAGGAACCUGGGCUGGACAUCCGAGGAGAAGGCGUUCCUCAUCAAACAUGUUGAAGAAACACCAAGAGACCCCAGAACAUCUCUAGUGGAGUAUUGAAAUGAGAUUGCUGAAAAGAUCAAUGCCGCUUUCCCAGAAAGUUCUAGGAAUGGUGUGUAAUAGUGUAAAUCAAAUAGGUUAAUUAUUCCAGUCAAACUGUCUCAGUGGUCGAGUGAUUACAGUUGUUGACUGCUAAUCAUUGUUUUUUCAUUGAUGGAUGGGUUACGGGUUCCAGCCCUGCUGCGACCGUACUCUUUACGUGAGACAGUAGGGCAGUUGCCGGUGGAAGUUGGUACCUUGUAUUGGUUUCCACCAAGGAACAAUGGGAAUUCCUGCAAGAGUGUGGCACAGCGCCUCCUUAUAGCUCCAAAUAUAUGUACUACAAGUCCUCUGGAAAAUGCCACUAACCUGAACAAUCUUACAGCAAAUGUUGCCACACAAACAGAUUUCAUAGCUGGGCCUGACCAAACAGAGGAUGACUGGAUUUUUCUUGAACCAAAAAGAGAAUUACAGG